AGCCACACUGGAACUGAGACACGGUCCAGACUCCUACGGGAGGCAGCAGUGGGGAAUAUUGCACAAUGGGCGCAAGCCUGAUGCAGCCAUGCCGCGUGUAUGAAGAAGGCCUUCGGGUUGUAAAGUACUUUCAGCGGGGAGGAAGGGAGUAAAGUUAAUACCUUUGCUCAUUGACGUUACCCGCAGAAGAAGCACCGGCUAACUCCGUGCCAGCAGCCGCGGUAAUACGGAGGGUGCAAGCGUUAAUCGGAAUUACUG
rnacentral:rRNA from 1 species